rnacentral:rRNA from 1 species
UCGAGAAUCUUCCGCAAUGCGCGCAAGCGUGACGGAGCGACGCCGCGUGGGUGAUGAAGGCCUUCGGGUUGUAAAGCCCUGUCAGUUGCCAAGAAUUGCGGGUCGUAAAUAGCGAUCCCGUUUGACUAAGCAGCAGAGGAAGCACCGGCUAAAUACGUGCCAGCAGCCGCGGUAAUACGUAUGGUGCAAACGUUGUUCGGAAUCACUGGGCUUAAAGCGGGCGUAGGCGGUUCGGUAAGUCUGUUGUGAAAGCCCUCGGCUCAACCGGGGAACUGCAACGGAUACUGCCGUACUAGAGUGCAGGAGGGGAGAGUGGAAUUCCUGGUGGAGCGGUGAAAUGCGUAGAUAUCAGGAGGAACGCCGGUGGCGAAAGCGACUCUCUGGCCUGUUACUGACGCUGAGGCCCGAAAGCUAGGGGAGCGAACGGGAUUAGAUACCCCCGUAGUCC